UACAGACAGGAGCGGAGAAGGUGGAACUGUGGCUGCCCGCAGAGUGAUGGGAAGACUCCAUCAGCUGGCCCUGAUAGGGCUCCUGCUGCUUUGCCUCAGCCCUGGGCAGCUCUGCGAGACCUGUGGUG